AGAAGUCGAGGACUGUUUUGUUUGCAUUCUUGUUCACAACAUUGAUGGUCCUGGAUUACGUGAUUCUGACAGCCAACAAUGUGUUGCAAGCAUUGCUGCUUGUUCUCAUGUUCGUAUGGUUGCUUCCAUUGACCAUGUCAACGCUCCUCUUUUGUGGGACAAGAAGAUGGUUCAUACACAAUUUGACUGGUACUGGUGCCAUGUUCCUACUUUUGCUCCAUACAAGGUUGAAUCAAUGUUUUUUCCUUUCAUCCUCG
rnacentral:misc_RNA from 1 species